AAAGUACUCCCUCCGUCCCAAAAUUUUUGUCUUAGAUUUGUCUAGAUACGGAUGUAUCAAGUCACAUUUUAGUAUUAGAUACAUCCAUAUCUAGACAAAUCUAAGACAAGAAAUUUGGGACAGAGGGAGUAGUUG
rnacentral:pre_miRNA from 1 species